GCAGUCGAGCGGUAGCACAGGAGAGCUUGCUCUCUGGGUGACGAGCGGCGGACGGGUGAGUAAUGUCUGGGAAACUGCCUGAUGGAGGGGGAUAACUACUGGAAACGGUAGCUAAUACCGCAUAACGUCUUCGGACCAAAGUGGGGGACCUUCGGGCCUCACGCCAUCAGAUGUGCCCAGAUGGGAUUAGCUAGUAGGUGGGGUAAUGGCUCACCUAGGCGACGAUCCCUAGCUGGUCUGAGAGGAUGACCAGCCACACUGGAACUGAGACACGGUCCAGACUCCUACGGGAGGCAGCAGUGGGGAAUAUUGCACAAUGGGCGCAAGCCUGAUGCAGCCAUGCCGCGUGUGUGAAGAAGGCCUUCGGGUUGUAAAGCACUUUCAGCGAGGAGGAAGGGUGGUGUGUUAAUAGCGCAUCACAUUGACGUUACUCGCAGAAGAAGCACCGGCUAACUCCGUGCCAGCAGCCGCGGUAAUACGGAGGGUGCAAGCGUUAAUCGGAAUUACUGGGCGUAAAGCGCACGCAGGCGGUUUGUUAAGUCAGAUGUGAAAUCCCCGCGCUUAACGUGGGAACUGCAUUUGAAACUGGCAAGCUAGAGUCUUGUAGAGGGGGGUAGAAUUCCAGGUGUAGCGGUGAAAUGCGUAGAGAUCUGGAGGAAUACCGGUGGCGAA
rnacentral:rRNA from 1 species